ensembl:lncRNA LINC02240 long intergenic non-protein coding RNA 2240
GUUCUUAUAAAUACUUUAAUUACACUGAAGCUUUAUCAGCAGGGAGCCAUGGGAAGUAUGUAGGGCCCUGGAUAAACAUUUUUAAAAGCAAGAACUAUUCAAGUUACACAAAAGACAGGACAGUCAUAACAACAGCAGCAACGACAACCACAACAAACUGGGGAAGCUGUACUUUUUAGGAGAGGAGGAUUGAAUUGUUUUUCUUUUCUUUUUAUGUCCCACUGUUGUUUUGGGGAAAAUACCUAAAAAAUGGGAAAGAUGAAGCCUGAGCAACCGAAGGUACCGAAGAAUUUUAAGUAGUGUCUUAGGAGAAAAUUAAAAGGAAACCUGAUUAACAGUGGUUCAGAGACAUUGAAACUCCGUAUAUUCAGGCUUGGCUAUUAGAUCUAAAAAAUAGAACAAGGAUCUGAGAUUUGAGAUCUGAUACCACAAAUGCCUUAAUGUGGCUGGCAUUCAUGAGAAGGUAUGCAACUAUUGUUGAAAUAUGAAGAACUCAGAAUGUCAAGAGAGAAGAGGAGGCUAUAUAAGCAAUAGGACUGGGAUAUGUGUGCAUUCCGAGUGCCUGGAGUGGCGAAGAUGGGGAAGAGAAAGGAUACAGAUGGAGUUCGAAUGGAUCUGGCAUGGAACAGUUCUGGGAACACAGCACUGAUAAAACUCUUAGGGAUGAAUUUACCUAUACCUGUGUUUCAGCCUUGUGAUCUGGGUUUGGCACGAUGAAAUGCUACUUUCAGAAAGAUGAGUAUGUCAGAAUCCCUGGUGAUUUCUAACGCUUAUGGAACACAUCACAUAGGAGCAAUUUAGAUGACAAAAAAGAGCACUCUUCAGUCUGGAUUUACACUGUGUUCCUAUUCACCGACACAUCAGCAAACAUUAUAAAUGCCUUGCCUGAGUAA